rnacentral:rRNA from 1 species
UCCUCAGUUCGGACUGGGGUCUGCAACCCGACCCCACGAAGCUGGAUUCGCUAGUAAUCGCGCAUCAGCCAUGGCGCGGUGAAUACGUUCCCGGGCCUUGUACACACCGCCCGUCAAGCCAUGAAAGCCGGGGGCGCCUGAAGUCCGUGACCGCGAGGGUCGGCCUAGGGUGAAACCGGUGAUUGGGGCUAAGUCGUAACAAGGUAAC